UGGAACGGGACGCCACAGAGGGUGAGAGCCCCGUAUGGUCGGACACCAAGCCUGUGUGAAGCUCCUUCGACGAGUCGAGUAGUUUGGGAAUGCUGCUCUAAAUGGGAGGUAAAUCUCUUCUAAAGCUAAAUACCGGCCAGAGACCGAUAGCGCACAAGUAGAGUGAUCGAAAGAUGAAAAGCACCUUGAAAAGGGGGUUAAAUAGUACGUGAAAUUGUUGAAAGGGAAGCACUUGUGACCAGACUUGGGCCGGGCGGCUCAUCAGGGGUUCUCCCCUGUGGCACUCCGCCCGGCACAGGCCAGCAUCGGUUCUCGUGGGGGGAUAAGACCGUCAGGAACGUAGCACCCUCCGGGGUGUGUUAUAGCCUGGCGGACGAUACCCCCGUGGGGACCGAGGUUCGCGCUCCGCAAGGAUGCUGGCGUAAUGGUCACCAGUGACCCGUCUUGAAACACGGACCAAGGAGUCGUCCAUUAGAGCGAGCGUUUGGGUGUAAAACCCGCACGCGUAAUGAAAGUGAACGCAGGUGAGAGCUUCGGCGCAUCAUCGACCGAUCCUGAUGUUCUCGGAAGGAUUUGAGUAAGAGUUUUAACGGACGGACCCGAAAGACAGUGAACUAUGCUUGUAUAGGGUGAAGCCAGAGGAAACUCUGGUGGAGGCUCGCAGCGGUUCUGACGUGCAAAUCGAUCGUCAAAUAUGAGCAUGGGGGCGAAAGACUAAUCGAACUGUCUAGUAGCUGGUUACCGCCGAAGUUUCCCUCAGGAUAGCAGUGUUGAUCUUCAGUUUUAUGAGGUAAAGCGAAUGAUUAGGGACUCGGGGGCGCUAUAUAGCCUUCAUCCAUUCUCAAACUUUAAAUAUGUAAGAAGCCCUUGUUACUUAGUUGAACGUGGGCAUUCGAAUGUACCAACACUAGUGGGCCAUUUUUGGUAAGCAGAACUGGCGAUGCGGGAUGAACCGAACGCGGGGUUAAGGCGCCAGAGUGUACGCUCAUCAGACACCACAAAAGGCGUUAGUACAUCUUGACAGCAGGACGGUGGCCAUGGAAGUCGGAAUCCGCUAAGGACUGUGUAACAACUCACCUGCCGAAUGUACUAGCCC
rnacentral:rRNA from 1 species